rnacentral:rRNA from 1 species
UACGGAGGUUGCAAGCGUUAUCCGGAUUUAUUGGGUUUAAAGGGUGCGUAGGCGGGACUUUAAGUCAGUGGUGAAAGACUGUCGCUUAACGAUAGCAUUGCCAUUGAUACUGAAGUUCUUGAGUACAUUUGAGGUGGGCGGAAUGUGUAGUGUAGCGGUGAAAUGCUUAGAUAUUACACAGAACACCGAUUGCGAAGGCAGCUCACUAAACUGUAACUGACGCUGAGGCACGAAAGCGUGGGGAUCAAACAGG